rnacentral:rRNA from 1 species
CGCGUAGGCGGUCUGCCAAGUCAGGGGUGAAAUCCUUCGGCUUAACCGGAGAAGUGCCUUUGAUACUGGCGGACUCGAGGGAGGUAGGGGCAGAUGGAACUGGUGGUGGAGCGGUGAAAUGUGUAGAUAUCACUAGGAACGCCGGUGGCGAAAGCGAUCUGCUGGACCUCUACUGACGCUGAGGCGCGAAAGCCAGGGGAGCAAACG